rnacentral:lncRNA from 1 species
GUAUUGAAUAAAUAAAUUCGAAUAAAGUGACACAAUUACACAAAAUCAAUUAAAAAAAUACACGAUUUGCUUUUUCAAAAAAAAAAAAAAAAAAAACACAAUUUUAUUUAGUUCAGAUGAGCGGUUGAACAUGCGGCGCCCAACUGGGCAAGUCCGGUUCUCCCUAUAAUGCAAUUAUAGAGAGACGGGAAGUCGAUCACCAGGAACGUGAUCUUUAUUCUUGCCCUCCUUUUCACCGAAGGUGACCAGCAGCUCUACGUAGCCCCAAGGUUGAGUGGAAGAGCCGUUGAAACUAUAGAGUUCGUUUCCAAUGUAUGGAGAAAGGUUUUUCUCCAUCAUCUAGAGAGUUUUGAACAGACCGGUGUGCAUGAUGUCGCACGAGGCCCCUGUGUCAAUUAGGACUCGACGAACGUCGGUGUUGGCCAUUGAUGCUCGCCCGAGCAAAGGAAUGGCUGAAUUUGAGGCCACACUGGGCAUUUCAGAGUCGUAGAACACCAAGGGUGGUCUUCCUCCCAUGUUGGAAUGGGAGGGGACCAGCUGGUUAACGCUCGUGAGCUCCCCUCCCGUUACAUAUCAGAGCAACCUAAGACUCAAUGAGGAAUAAGUCACUCACGACAGCAACCUACUCUUGAAUACCUGCAAGUUACUCAUACGAAGAACAAUAUUUCCAAGCAGAAGGGGUGAGAUUUCACAAAACAAUAAUGUUAAGCAUAUAAUUCAACAAUUAUAUUUAACAACAUGAAAACAUCUUAUUAUUCAUUAUAGAUAAUAAUAUAUCAUAAAUCACUUCGUUAACAAUUCACAUAACUAAUCACAACUUCACAACUUAUCAUCUUCGACUCAACAAAUGCAACUAUGCAACUUAGACAUGUUAUAUGCAUGUGGUACCAAUCCAGGGCAUCAAGCCCCCAUCGCUAUUGAGCUAAAGCUCCAUCGUAUUGAGCAAAGGCUCCAGGGCAUCAAGCCUCCAACAAUGAAAUGCUAAUGCAUGGACUCGACCUCUUAAACAUCUUAAAUCGACAACCUCUUAUAUAAUCCAAUAGUUUGGAACAUCAUCAUCUUCAUCAACUUAGACCGACUCAUGCAGCUUAGUUAAAUAACAACAGCAACACAGGCAGUAUACAAAAACAGCAUGACAUAAUAAUAUCAAAUGCAAGUCAACAACAUCUCAAAUAUACAUUCAUAAUUUAAGUAAUGCGUAUAACAUUAUAUCACAUCAUAAUCAACAUCAACACAUCUUAAAACAACUUCGCAUAUUAUAAUUAACAUCAUCCUUAAGUCUCAAUAUUACCCCAAGGUUCAACUCUUAACAACUUGUGUGACACAGAUCGCAAAAUCCUAACAGGGCACUCUGUUUCUGGGUCACUCGGGAGGCGAGAGCCUCUGCUCGCCGUGGCGAGUUCAGGUCAGAAUUCCAAAAGUUUCAUUCUAAAUCUUUCCAGGUUCAAUCUCAUUCUACAUUCUUUCCUAAUCAUUAUUAGACAUGUUCAAGCACUCAAAAGCAUCUAAGGAUCAACUCAAAAGUCAAAAUCACGAAAUCUUGCAAGCUCUCUGGUCAAGCUCGCUAGGCGAGUUCAUCUGCUCGCUAUGGCGAGCUACGACGUGCAACUCGCGAGGCGGGGAAAAGUUGCUCGCGUGGCGAGCGAUGAAGUUCAUCACUCGCGAGGCGAGGAUCAUAGCUUGGGAGGCGAGCGAUGAAUGUUGUUACGGACAGAAGUGCAGUUUUUCAGAAAAAUCACAAAUUCUCAUGGUUUUAAGCCUAACAUUGAUUCCAUAAUUCAUCAUGCACAUUAUCUAAGGUCUAGGAACAAUUCCUACAUCAAUCUAACAAGUUUCCACCGUUUAAUCAAUAAUUCUUCAGUUUUAACCUACUUUUCAAUUCCUCUAUAACUCAUCCUACAUCAUGUUAAACCUAACCAUUGAAUCAUAUACUUAAUAGAAUUGCAAAGUUAGUCUCACCCUUACCUUAUAACUCAAAAUGGCAGCCUCUAGGUCUUCUUGCUCUUCUCUUGGCUUUUUCUCCCUUUUUCCAAAAGCUGAUCGUACGUUAUGUUUUUCUAAUUAGGUUUCACCUAUUUAUAUCUCCACCAUCUAUCUUAUCUUAUUUCGCUUUCUCCCCCAAAACUCUCUAAAAUCUUAAAACAAACCCUAAACUCAAUAAUUAUUUUAUUUUCAAAUCUUAUUUUAUUAAACAAUAAAAUAAGUCACAACUCCUCAUAAAUCACAUAAAAAUCAUCUCAAUCAUAUAAACCUCUUAAAUCACACAUAUACAAUAUAAAUAUAAUAUAAACUCAUCAUAAUAAAUUCUAGACUCAAUUAAAUAAUUAAAUAAUUCAAAGAGGGCGUUACACCCUCCCCCCCACACCUCUAGUCUGUCAGAAUCCUAACUUUGGCUUCACUUUAGCUCCCUAGCUCUUCGACCCCAAGCUUUCUCUCUCUAUCUCUCUCAAAAUAUUUUGUGAAGUGAAUGAAAUGAGUAGAAAACCUAAUUUUCUCCUUAGUGUUAUGUUUCUAUAGUCACCACAUAAUUGGGCUACGUUUUUACUUGUCUUAAUGGACUCAAUAUUCUUACCAAUUAAUUCACGAAGUUACUACUCACUUAAACCACUAAAAUACUGAAUAAUUACUGUCUCUAAAUAAUUAUUACGACUUACUACUAACUUAGCAAAAAUAACUUUUCUCACCAAAAAUAACCUUCUAAUUAAAAUGACUAUUUCACCCUUGCUGACCGAAUGACCCAAAUCCUCAUUAAUCUAAAAAUGACUAAAAUACCCUUCUAGGUAAAAAAUCCACUAAUCCCAAAUAAAAUACACACAAAGACAAUUAAUCACACGCAAGCGCAUAUAGACACACAUAAUAAAUAAUUAAAAUAAUUCUAGCGAAAAAUGAGCUAUUACAUGGGGCUUAUCAAUUUCUCAUGUCCGCGGAUGCACCUUUGGAUAGGGAAUACAUUGACAGUGUUUGGCACAAUCAUAUUCCUCUCAAGGUUUGCUUCUUCGUGUUGCGCGUUCUCCGCAACUGCCUACCAACCAAAGACAACUUUGUGCGAAGGAGGGUGAUUCACGAAGAGCAUAUGUUGUGUCCGACUGGCUGUAGUUUCAAGGAAACAACCGACGAUCUGUUUUUGUGGCCUCUUGUUUGACAAUGGCUGCAUAUUUCUUGAGUCAACUCUUGUGUGCUCCGUGACCAUUUUUAUCAAUUUUUUCAUAUGGCGGGAAUGCCGCGAUCAUAACAUUCAUUCUUAAAGGUUAUUUUGAUGGCUAGCGUUUGGCUUAUUUGGAAGGAAAGGAACAACCGCGUCGUCAACAACAAGACAUCCGAUCCUUUUAUCAUUUUGGACAAAGUAAAAUUGUUGUCUUUUUUAGGGUUAAAGACUCACUUGCCAUCUUUUGUUUAAGCUUAUUAUGAUUGGUGGUGGCACCCUCUCUUAUGCAAGGGUGCCGUAGUUUAACGCUUUCAUUUCUUUUUCUUUUAUUUGGCGGUGCUUGCGUAUUCGGCACCGGUGACUUUGUAACUAUUUUGCGGUGUUUCUCUCGUUGCACAUCUUGUGCACGGUGAUUCACCUUUGAGUUAAAUAUAUUCUCUUGUUAAAUAUACCUCUUUUUUUUUAUUCUCUUGUUAAUAUUGUGUAAAGAAAAACUUGAAAAAUAAAUAAUGAUAUGAAA